AAUGAACGUUGGCGGCGUGGAUUAGGCAUGCAAGUCGAGCGAGAACCCUCCUUCGGGAGGGGGACAGCGGCAAACGGGGUAGGAGGACGUCGGUGACGUACCCUCAGGACCGGGAUAGUCAAGGGAAACUUUGGGUAAUACCGGAUAACAUCUGCGGAUCAAAUGGUGUGAUUCCGCCUGGGGAGCGGCUGACGCGGUAUUAGCUAGUUGGUAGGGUAACGGCCUACCAAGGCGAGGAUGCCUGGGGGGUGUGAGAGCAUGGCCCCAACCACUGGGACUGAGAUACUGCCCAGACACCUACGGGUGGCUGCAGUCGAGAAUCUUCGGCAAUGGGCGCAAGCCUGACCGAGCGACGCCGCGUGCGGGAUGAAGGCCUUCGGGUUGUAAACCGCUGUCAGGGGGGAUGAAAUGCCUGGGAGCUAUCUCCCAGGCUUGACAGAGCCCCAGAGGAAGCACGGGCUAAGUUCGUGCCAGCAGCCGCCGUAAUAC
rnacentral:rRNA from 1 species